GGGCCCGCACAAGCGGUGGAGCAUGUGGUUUAAUUCGAUGAUACGCGAGGAACCUUACCAGGGCUUAAAUGUAGUGGGACAGGUCUAGAGAUAGACCCUUCUUCGGACUCAUUACAAGGUGCUGCAUGGUUGUCGUCAGCUCGUGCCGUGAGGUGUCAGGUUAAGUCCUAUAACGAGCGCAACCCCUAUCGUUAGUUGCCAGCGGGUCAUGCCGGGAACUCUAGCGAAACUGCCGGUGCAAACCGAGAGGAAGGUGGGGAUGACGUCAAAUCAUCACGGCCCUUACGGGUUGGGCUACACACGUGCUACAAUGGUAGUGACAAUGGGUUAAUCCCAAAAAGCUAUCU
rnacentral:rRNA from 1 species